rnacentral:rRNA from 1 species
AUUGAACGCUGGCGGCAUGCCUUACACAUGCAAGUCGAACGGCAGCAUGGAGAGCUUGCUCUCUGAUGGCGAGUGGCGAACGGGUGAGUAAUGCAUCGGAACGUACCGUGUAAUGGGGGAUAACGUAGCGAAAGUUACGCUAAUACCGCAUACGACCUGAGGGUGAAAGCAGGGGAUCGCAAGACCUUGCGUUAUAAGAGCGGCCGAUGUCCGAUUAGCUAGUUGGUGAGGUAAAGGCUCACCAAGGCGACGAUCUGUAGCGGGUCUGAGAGGAUGAUCCGCCACACUGGGACUGGGACACGGCCCAGACUCCUACGGGAGGCAGCAGUGGGGAAUUUUGGACAAUGGGGGCAACCCUGAUCCAGCCAUGCCGCGUGAGUGAAGAAGGCCUUCGGGUUGUAAAGCUCUUUCGGCCGGGAAGAAAUCGCACAGGCUAAUACUCUGUGUGGAUGACGGUACCGGCAUAAGAAGCACCGGCUAACUACGUGCCAGCCGCCGCCGUAA